rnacentral:rRNA from 1 species
UACGUAGGGGGCAAGCGUUGUCCGGAUUUAUUGGGCGUAAAGAGCUCGUAGGCGGUCUGUCGCGUCGGCUGUGAAAUCCCGAGGCUCAACCUCGGGUCUGCAGUCGAUACGGGCAAACUAGAGUAUUGCAGGGGAGACUGGAAUUCCUGGUGUAGCGGUGAAAUGCGCAGAUAUCAGGAGGAACACCGGUGGCGAAGGCGGGUCUCUGGGCAAUAACUGACGCUGAGGAGCGAAAGCGUGGGGAGCGAAACAGG